AACCUCCGCAAUGUGAGAAAUCGCGACGGGGGGAUCCCAAGUGCCAUUCUUAACGGGAUGGCUUUUCAUUAGUGUAAAGAGCUUUUGGAAUAAGGGCUGGGCAAGACCGGUGCCAGCCGCCGCGGUAACACCGGCAGCUCUAGUGGUAGCUGUUUUUAUUGGGCCUAAAGCGUUCGUAGCCGGUUUGAUAAGUCACUGGUGAAAUCCUGUAGCUUAACUGUGGGAAUUGCUGGUGAUACUGUUGAACUUGAGGUCGGGAGAGGUUAGCGGUACUCCCAGGGUAGAGGUGAAAUUCUGUAAUCCUGGGAGGACCAUCUGUGGCGAAGGCGGCUAACUGGGACGGUUCUGACGGUGAGGGACGAAAGUUAGGGGCGCGAACCGGAUUAGAUACCCGGGUAGUCCUAACUGUAAACGAUGCGGACUUGGUGUUGGGGUGGCUUUGAGCUGCUCCAGUGCCGAAGGGAAGCUGUUAAGUCCGCCGCCUGGGAAGUACGGUCGCAAGACUGAAACUUAAAGGAAUU
rnacentral:rRNA from 1 species